rnacentral:rRNA from 1 species
AACGAACGCUGGCGGCAUGCCUAACACAUGCAAGUCGAACGAGACCUUCGGGUCUAGUGGCGCACGGGUGCGUAACGCGUGGGAAUCUGCCCUUGGGUUCGGAAUAACAGUUGGAAACGACUGCUAAUACCGGAUGAUGACGUAAGUCCAAAGAUUUAUCGCCCAAGGAUGAGCCCGCGUAGGAUUAGCUAGUUGGUGAGGUAAAGGCUCACCAAGGCGACGAUCCUUAGCUGGUCUGAGAGGAUGAUCAGCCACACUGGGACUGAGACACGGCCCAGACUCCUACGGGAGGCAGCAGUGGGGAAUAUUGGACAAUGGGCGAAAGCCUGAUCCAGCAAUGCCGCGUGAGUGAUGAAGGCCUUAGGGUUGUAAAGCUCUUUUACCCGGGAAGAUAAUGACUGUACCGGGAGAAUAAGCCCCGGCUAAACUCCGUGCCAGCAGCCGCGGUAAU